ACAUUUAACAAGAUGCUUCUCUAAAGCAUCAGUAGAAAAAGGCUCUUCCUUCCCCACUUGAUCCUCUGCUUAAAAUCUGCCAGUUCCAUACUUUGAUGAGAAACCUACAGUGCUCCAUCAGUUCUGAGUGUACCACUUAUCAUGCCCAGACACUGAGAAAAAUGGAGAUGCUCUCAAAUGAAAGCAAAACUUGCAGUCUCUCAUAGGGGGAUGUGCGUGGAUGACUGCAGAGGGAAGAAAGGAGCAAACACUGCAAACAGCUUUGGCCUCUUCUCUUGUAGAUAUGUCAACUUCCAGAAAGGUUUUGUCAAAUGACACAACUGAUGAAGACUUCACGCUCACCAUGCAGUACUGUCCCAAGGAACAGAUGCAGCCAGGUGCUGACCCCUUUCUCGAAGGAGAUUAAUAUCAAUGGGACUAUUUUCCCUACACAAGGAGAGUCUGCAUAAUGAGAGGAGCAAAAGAAGUUGUUUGUUCACAGAACUUGCAGAAGUCUCAAGCCUUCUUCAGAUGAGCGCAUUCCUCUGAUGUUGAACCUUCUAGGACAUCAAGCUCCAGGAGGUGAACGGUGAAUUACCCUGGUGAUGGGUGCUAUUUGGAGGCGUAUACUGCUGUAAUGAGAAUGUACCAUGGUUCCCCUUGAAGUAAGACAUUGGCUAUUGCUGGUAGUUACUGCCUUGCAAAGUAUUAAUGUUCGGUUAUAGCGCAGUCAUGUAGGAAAAUUAUAGAUGCCUACAGGGUGUUACUUAGCAACACUCGGUAUUGUUGAGUUAGUAAUGAAGAAAUGAAGUAAAAGAAAUACAGAAGAUAUUGAAAUCAUAAAAUAAACUGUGGUACAACUUGUGAAAGC
rnacentral:lncRNA from 7 species